AAUCAACGCUGGCGGCGUGCCUCAGGCAUGCAAGUCGAACGAUUAAAGCUCUCUUCGGAGAGUGUAUAGAGUGGCGCACGGGGUGAGUAACACGUAAGUAAUCUACCCUCGAGUGGGGAAUAACAACCGGAAACGGUUGCUAAUACCGCAUAAUGCAGCGGCACCGCAAGGUGACAGUUGUUAAAGAUUUAUCGCUUGAGGAGGAGCUUGCGGCAGAUUAGCUAGUUGGUAGGGUAACGGCUUACCAAGGCUACGAUCUGUAACCGGUCUAAGAGGACGGUCGGUCACACUGACACUGAAUAACGGGUCAGACUCCUACGGGAGGCAGCAGUCGGGAAUUUUGGGCAAUGGGCGAAAGCCUGACCCAGCAACGCCGCGUGAAGGAUGAAGUAUUUCGGUAUGUAAACUUCGAAAGAAUAGGAAGAAUUAAUGACGGUACUAUUUAUAAGGUCCGGCUAACUACGUGCCAGCAGCCGCGGUAAGAGUCACGUCG
rnacentral:rRNA from 1 species